rnacentral:rRNA from 1 species
CCUACGGGAGGCAGCAGCUAGAUAUUGGGCAAUUGGAUGAAAGUCUGACCCAGCCGUGCCGCGUGCCGGACGAAGGCCCUCAGGGUCGUAAACGGCUUUUGUACGGGAAGAACCCCGCCCAUGCGUGGGCGGCUGACGGUACCGUAAGAAUAAACACCGGCUAACUCCGUGCCAGCAGCCGCGGUAAUACGGAGGGUGCGAGCGUUGUCCGGAUUUAUUGGGUUUAAAGGGUGCGCAGGUGGCCCGGUCAGUCAAUGGUGAAAUGCGGCCGCUCAACGGUCGAACUGCCAUUGAUACUGCCGGGCUUGAGAGAAGUGGAGGCUGCCGGAACGGACGGUGUAGCGGUGAAAUGCAUAAAUAUCGUCCAGAACGCCGAUUGCGAAGGCAGGUGGCUACGCUUCUUCUGACACUGAGGCACGAAAGCGUGGGGAGCGAACANGAUUAGAUACCCUGGUAGUCCACCCCGUAAACAAUGAGGACUCGCUGCCGGCCCGCUGGGGUCGGUGGCCUAGGGAAACCGUUAAGUCCUCCACCUGGGGAGGUACGCCGGCAACGGUGAAACUCAAAUGAAUUGACGG